CCUACGGGAGGCAGCAGUGGGGAAUAUUGGGCAAUGGAGGCAACUCUGACCCAGCAACGCCGCGUGAAUGAUGAAGGUCUUCGGAUUGUAAAGUUCUGUGAUGGGGGAUGAACAAAAUGACGAUACGCCAAUAGCAAGCCACGGCUAACUACGUGCCAGCAGCCGGGGGAAUACGUAGGUGGCAAGCGUUAUCCGGAUUGACUGGGCGUAAAGGGUGCGUAGGUGGUUUAGAAAGUUGGCGGUGUAAUUCCGGGGCUCAACCUCGGCGCUACCGCUAAAACUAUUAGACUAGAGUGCAGGAGGGGUAAGUGGAAUGCCUAGUGUAGCGGUGGAAUGCGUAGAUAUUAGGAGGAACAUCAGGGGCGAAGGCGACUUACUGGACUGUAACUGACACUGAGGCACGAAAGCGUGGGGAGCAAACAGGAUUAGAUACCCCUGUAGUC
rnacentral:rRNA from 1 species